ACGUAUGUCGCAAGCGUUAUCCGGAAUUAUUGGGCGUAAAGCGAGUCUAGGCGGCUUGUUAAGUCAGAUGUGAAAAUGCGGGGCUCAACUCCGUAUUGCGUUUGAAACUGGCAGGCUAGAGUACUGGAGAGGUGGGCGGAACUACAGGUGUAGAGGUGAAAUGCGUAGAUAUGUGUAGGAAUGCCGAUAGUGAAGGCAGCUAACUGGACAGAUACUGACGCUAA
rnacentral:rRNA from 1 species